UAGGGGAUUAUCACGCUUCCUGGUUCCGGUGGCGGAAUUUGUCUUUGUUGUGCAUGAAAACUUCCGGCGCACUUCCACCAUGGCUGAAACAAAGGCUAGAUGUCACUGCUCUGUUCCACUUUGUACAUCUAACAAACAACACCAACCCUACUACCCUACUUGGAUUCCCGACUGAAAUGAGUCUAAGGAAGAAGUGGAUUCAAGCGGUUCGCCGGGAUGAAGGGCCAAACUUUAAAAUAAAACAAGGUAGCACGUUUGUUUGUAGCCGGCACGGGUGAAUCAGACUACAAACGCUACAGCUAGCAACCAACCGGGGUCACACCAAGCGACUGAAAAUCGGGUCUGUACCCUCCCGUUUCCAGUGGAACAACUGGGGACUGCCAAGAAGGGGGUCUUUUUAUAAAAGAGCAUCAACUCGCUUAGGCCAAGACGUUCACCCAUCCCUUCCUCUGGAGCAACCGCUGCCCUGUGAAUAAGAGCCGAUGGAGGAGAUCUCAACUUCGGUGGUGAUGACAGAACAUGAUUUCGGUUCUGCUGCUAAACCAGGUGCACUGGAUGCUGCUGCUGUACACAUACAGCAAUUGGAAGAAACAGUCAAGGAGCUGAUGAGAGCUGUCACAGCUGAAAGUGGUUCAAGUGCCUUUUCACAGAUUCUGUGUCUCAGACGCGGACAUCCUUUUUUACACCAGAUUCAUGUCAAGAGAUGUUUUUUGUGACUUCUGGGAGGUUAUUCAACCAUCUGCCUCCAUGUUGGUUUAUUGGUCGAAAGCUCAGAAAAAGAAACAAACAUUUGAACCCAUUUCUCCCAGUCCAACGUGUAGACUGCAACUGGUUGAGUUUUUUCUCUUCUGCUGCCGGGUUGCUGCAGGCCUGCAAGAGAAGGUGCUGGCUGACAUGUUUCAGUGCUGUGACUUUUGUGUCAAGUCUCUUCACCGGCUCCAUCUCCGACCCAGAGCUGACUGAACGAGGUGGACUGCUGGAUUUACUGGAGCCAGGAGAUGGCUGCAUGGCAGACAAGGGUUUCACCAUCGAGAAGCCACUAGCUGAUCGUGGGGCAACGCUGAUUAUACCACCCUUCAAGAUGACAGUUCACUGAAGAGGAUGCUCUGAAAACACAAGCAAUCGCUCGACUUCGAAUCCUCGUAGAAAGAGCAAUAGGCAGAGUCAAGGAAUACCGCAUCUGGGAACACACUGUCCUUUCACCUUGUCUGCGACAGUCAAUCAGCUGUGGACCGUCUGCUGUGUGAUGACCAACUUCCAGGGACCACUUGAUUUAAAAGGCUACAUCCCUGUGUUUCUACUCAAACAUGUACCUAUAAAUAUUAAAUAUAAUAUAUAAAUAUUAAAACGAGAGGCACUGAACAUUUGGAGUGGUCCCUUCAUUUUUUCCGGAGCUGUAAUUUUGUACACUGAAAACAUUGUAUAUAUUGAAUGACAUGUAAGUAAUUGAAUGAGAAGUCUUUCAUCUAUAAUCAAUUUUAAAGUCCAGUCAGUCCAUCCUGAAAGUAUUCAAAAUAAUGUUAAUAUAUAAUGUAGUAAAUGAUGUCCUCAGAAAAAGGGAAUGAAUUAAAUCAUUUUAUUCUUUCA